AGCAAAGGAAUAUCGCUAUACAUGUAUAUACCGUAUAUAUUUUUUGCAAUAUCAGAAAUAAUUUGACAUACUGUAAUUACUUAAGGGUCUCGGUUCGUAGAAUAGCUGCAACCCUAGCAGUAGCAUUGCAAUUGCAAAACAAAAGCCACAGUCAGGGAAUGGAGAUUAAAAGUUUAUUGAGACCAGCAGAAUAAUAGCCCUUCUCGCUCUAACAAUAGGGGAUGUGUCACGCAAGAACGCCUAGCUAGCUACACGUUGUUUGCCUUUUCACAUCGAUCGUGACAUUACAAACCGCUCUCGAUAACCAGGUCUUUGUUUAAGCCAAAAUAGCUCUUCUCGACAUUGUUUUUGUUUUGGAUCACGUUUUGGCUACUGUUUGAGUGUUUCUCUCUUCAGAAGUUCUCUUACGCGUUAUUAUUGACAUUUUUAAUUACGAGUUAAAACUAGGAGUUUCAUCUUCUUCAGUUGGUAGUGGUACGUAGUGCCGUACUCGUUCACUGUCCGUGGUUACUCGCUCCCGCCCGGGACCCGGGCGCGGCCGUCCCAGCUGCAGAGCCAGCCAAGCAGUUCGAGUGAAAGCGACGAGUACACCAUAAAGGGACAAUGAACUCGGAGUCUACACUUUGUUUCUACAAGUCAACGGGCAACUUGCUCAAUCGAAGAGGACUGGGGAAGUGUACAACAGGCCUGUCGUUUCCGUCCGGCGAAACAAAGAGAUCAUGGAGAACCCAGAAGUACAACAACUGAAUUGGGAAGGACAGUGAGAAGUCUCUGGAGGACAGGAGAUGUGUGUGCAUUUGAGUUUUGUCAGAUGUGUAUCAAUCAGAUUAUUUACGUCUGGGACCGACCUUUUACAUCACAAUCUGAAAGACGUGACCAGGGCUCGAAACUCUGCAUCAAUUUGUAACUUCCCCACAGCUUGGAUUACAGGUGCAAGCCACAACGCCCAGGACAGGAGAGCUGU
rnacentral:lncRNA from 1 species